rnacentral:miRNA from 1 species
CGUGAUAUUUGUUUGGCUCAUC